GCAAAGACCAGCCGCUCUGUGAUGUGUGGGCUGCUCAUUUGACAGGGCAGCCUCAGCCCAGGGCUGAGAUGGCAGUGCUUCUGGGAAGGAACCUGUCGCUGUUGUGUAGGGCCACCUGGGACAUCAGAAAUACUCCAGAUGUUGUAAUGAUGGAUGACCGUAGUUUUAGGGAAGCGUGAAUGGUUGUGCUGGGGAUGUGCCUUUUAUCCCUGUGAUCUCAGAGGAAGAAAGGAGGACGCUUUUGAACAGAUAUGGAUGGGGAACUGAGUCUGGCAGAGAGUGACUUGCCCAAGGCCAUACUGUAAAGGCCAUAGUAGUCGGGCCUGCAAGAUUCAGCAUCCAGUCCGCUGGGCCACAUCGUGGGCCUGUUGUUUUGAGCCCUGUUCUCAGUGGAUCCUGUGAGAACAGUGCUUUCGCUUCUGCAUGCUGCUUUCCCCAAUACUCAGAAACUCUCAGCAGAUUUUCUCCCCUUUAAUCUUCCCUCUGAGCACAAUAGGCAGGUUUCCUCCAGCCUUUGUCUUCUACACCUUUGUCAUCCUCGCAGCUCUCCUCUGAAUCCUUUCCGAUUGAUCCAUCCGCAUCUUUCCUGAAUUGUGACACUCAGAAGCUAUACUUCAGAGGAGGGACUUUGCCAAAGCUACUUCUUGACAGUUGGAUACACAUUUAUUUGUGUAAUUUAAUUUUUUUGCUUCAAGAUUAUUCUGGGGACUUGUGCAUCUGUCUGUUCACAUGGCUAAAGACACUGCUGCAAAAGUGAGGGGUGGAAACAUCAUUUCUUUAAAAGAAAUCAAAGGCAUACAAUGCAGUGAGAAGGAAGUAGUUGUGCUCUAUUGUUAUUGGCCUCACUGACAUAUCAAUUUUUGUUAUUGUGAGGGUGUUUGAUCAGAGUGAUGCAUGAUUGUUAAGUGAUGUUCAAAAUGGUGAGGUUUUGAAUAUGUAUACUUGUCUUCUUCUAUUCUUGCUUCAAAAUGGUUUUAAAAAACAUAGAAAUGUAUAUAGUUAAUCUUAUGAAGUGGUUUUGUUCCCUGCCUGCCUCUUUUAAAUUAUUUAAUUGCUGGGGAAAUGUAGCAUUUUCUUAAAAACUUGGAAUAAAUAUACAUUAGAGUAUAUAUAUACUGCCACAUACAAUUCUGCUUAGCAUUUAAUACUGUAUUGUCUGGUAAGAUUUUGCUUUAGAUUCCAUCAAUGAAGGAGGCAGAGGCUGCCAAGCAGGGCUUUUUCUGUGUGGGCACCAUACUUUUCAAUAUUCUCCUUAGAGGCGCCCUUACUUAUCUUAGAAUAGCUUUCUCAAAUAGGAACCAUCUAGAUGUGUCAAAAUACAAGUCUCAGAAUUCCUGAAAUAUCUGGAGGGUUCUGAGUUGGGGAAUACUGCUUUAAAAAAAAGUAAAUAAAACUCACCUUUUUCACUAGAGUUUAAGGUGCCAUGAAAUUUUGAUGCUACUGCUGUUGACUUUUAUGAAGUGGGUUUUUUUGUACAUUGAAUGGAUGUUAUUGUGAAUAUCAUUUUGUUGUUUACUUUUUAUUGUUGUACAUUGUUUUAAUCACUUGUGGAGAAGUGACUAAUACAUGGUAGUCAGUCAGCAGUAAAUAAAUUACUUUCUGAAAAACAAAA